GACGAACGCUGGCGGCGUGCUUAACACAUGCAAGUCGAACAGUGGCGAACGGGUGAGUAAUGCUUGGGAAUCUAGCUUAUGGAGGGGGAUAACUACGGGAAACUGUAGCUAAUACCGCGUACCAUAGGAUGAGCCCAAGUGGGAUUAGGUAGUUGGUGGGGUAAAGGCUCACCAAGCCGACGAUCUCUAGCUGGUCUGAGAGGAUGACCAGCCACACUGGGACUGAGACACGGCCCAGACUCCUACGGGAGGCAGCAGUGGGGAAUAUUGGGCAAAGGGGGCAACCUGAAUGAGCCAUACCGCGGGGAUGAAGAAGGCCUUCGGGGUGGAAAGUUCUUUCGGUAGCGAGGCGUUAACUACAGAAAAAGCAACGGCUAACUACGUGCCAGCAGCCGCGGUAAUUC
rnacentral:rRNA from 1 species